CCGUAGGUGACCUGCGGAAGGAUCAUUACCGAGUGAGGGCCCUUUGGGUCCAACCUCCCACCCGUGUUUAUUUACCUCGUUGCUUCGGCGGGCCCGCCUUAACUGGCCGCCGGGGGGCUCACGCCCCCGGGCCCGCGCCCGCCGAAGACACCCCCGAACUCUGCCUGAAGAUUGUCGUCUGAGUGAAAAUAUAAAUUAUUUAAAACUUUCAACAACGGAUCUCUUGGUUCCGGCAUCGAUGAAGAACGCAGCGAAAUGCGAUACGUAAUGUGAAUUGCAAAUUCAGUGAAUCAUCGAGUCUUUGAACGCACAUUGCGCCCCCUGGUAUUCCGGGGGGCAUGCCUGUCCGAGCGUCAUUGCUGCCCUCAAGCCCGGCUUGUGUGUUGGGCCCCGUCCUCCGAUUCCGGGGGACGGGCCCGAAAGGCAGCGGCGGCACCGCGUCCGGUCCUCGAGCGUAUGGGGCUUUGUCACCCGCUCUGUAGGCCCGGCCGGCGCUUGCCGAUCAACCCAAAUUUUUAUCCAGGUUGACCUCGGAUCAGGUAGGGAUACCCGCUGAACUUAAGCAUACAUAACCCGGG
rnacentral:rRNA from 1 species